rnacentral:rRNA from 1 species
AGUGAACGCUGGCGGUAGGCCUAACACAUGCAAGUCGAACGGCAGCACAGUAAGAGCUUGCUCUUACGGGUGGCGAGUGGCGGACGGGUGAGGAAUACAUCGGAAUCUACUUUUUCGUGGGGGAUAACGUAGGGAAACUUACGCUAAUGCCGCAUACGACCUACGGGUGAAAGCAGGGGAUCUUCGGACCUUGCGCGAUUGAAUGAGCCGAUGUCGGAUUAGCUAGUUGGCGGGGUAAAGGCCCACCAAGGCGACGAUCCGUAGCUGGUCUGAGAGGAUGAUCAGCCACACUGGAACUGAGACACGGUCCAGACUCCUACGGGAGGCAGCAGUGGGGAAUAUUGGACAAUGGGCGUAAGCCUGAUCCAGCCAUACCGCGUGGGUGAAGAAGGCCUUCGGGUUGUAAAGCCCUUUUGUUGGGAAAGAAAAGCAGCAGGUUAAUACCCCGCUGUUCUGACGGUACCCAAAGAAUAAGCACCGGCUAACUUCGUG